rnacentral:lncRNA from 1 species
AGUCUCUGAUAAAACAGACUUUAAACCAACAAAGAUCAAAAGAGACAAGGCCAUUACAUAAUGGUAAAGGGAUCAAUUCAACAAGAAGAGCUAACUGUCCUAAAUAUAUAUGCACCUAAUACAGGAGCACCCAGAUUCAUAAAGCAAGUCCUGAGUGACCUACAAAGAGACUUAGACUCCCACACAUUAAUAAUGGGAGACUUUAACACCCCACUGUCAACAUUAGACAGAUCAACGAGACAGAAAGUCAACAAGGAUACCCAGGAAUUGAACUCAGCUCUGCACCAAGUGGACCUAAUAGACAUCUACAGAACUCUCCACCCCAAAUCAACAGAAUAUACAUUUUUUUCAGCACCACAACACACCUAUUCCAAAAUUGACCACAUAGUUGGAAGUAAAGCUCUCCUCAGCAAAUGUAAAAGAACAGAAAUUAUAACCAACUAUCUCUCAGACCACAGUGCAAUCAAACUAGAACUCAGGAUUAAGAAUCUCACUCAAAACCGCUCAACUACAUGGAAACUGAACAACCUGCUCCUGAAUGACUACUGGGUACAUAACGAAAUGAAGGCAGAAAUAAAGAUGUUCUUUGAACCCAACGAGAACAAAGACACAACAUACCAGAAUCUCUGGGACGCAUUCAAAGCAGUGUGUAGAGGGAAAUUUAUAGCACUAAAUGCCCACAACAGAAAGCAGGAAAGAUCCAAAAUUGACACCCUAACAUCACAAUUGAAAGAACUAGAAAAGCAAGAGCAAACACAUUCAAAAGCUAGCAGAAGGCAAGAAAUAACUAAAAUCAGAGCAGAACUGAAGGAAAUAGAGACACAAAAAACCCUUCAAAAAAUUAAUGAAUCCAGGAGCUGGUUUUUUGAAAGGAUCAACAAAAUUGAUAGACCGCUAGCAAGACUAAUAAAGAAAAAAAGAGAGAAGAAUCAAAUAGACGCAAUAAAAAAUGAUAAAGGGGAUAUCACCACCGAUCCCACAGAAAUACAAACUACCAUCAGGGAAUACUACAAACACCUCUACGCAAAUAAACUAGAAAAUCUAGAAGAAAUGGAUAAAUUCCUGGACACAUACACUCUCCC